AAUAUUAGGGGUGGCAAUAAAAUCCAUUAACACAAUAUCCAUCCAAUCCAUCCUAUAAUUUAUCCAUCCAAUCCAUCCAUUAAACAAAAAAAUAUUUUAAUGGAUUUAUCCAAUCCAUCCAUCAAAUUAUAUGGAUGGAUUCAAUCCAUCCAUCUUAUUUUAUAAAUCCAUUGAAUAUUAUUUUAUCAUUUAUUAAAUAAAACUUUUUAAUAAAAAAUAUAUUAAACAUUUAAUAUCUUUUCUUAAAACACAAUAAGAAAAUAAAAUAUAUUUGAAAAUUAGAAAAACAUUUCAGAUUCAAUUUCUUGUUUCCAGAUUUCUUCUUCCCCCAAACUUCAGGAAUCACCACGUUUUCUCCAAACGAACGAAGAACCCUAAUUUUGUAUUCCCCCAAUUUCAUCUUCCCCCAAUUUCACGAUGAAACCAUUUCGCUAGCAAUUCAACUCAACAUUUUGGUGCUACAAUUGCAAUUCAACUCAACGUUUCGAUGCUACUAUCUCAAUUCAUCUCAGCAUCGCAAAUUCAAAUCAGCAUCGCAACUUAACGUUUCGUAUUCUCAUAAUCGUUGCCUCUUCUGCUGGAUAGUCUCUCUGUAGCUUUUCAAGAUUUCUCUUCGGCGACUGUUGAUAUAUUUUUUGCGUUUUCUACUUCAAAGGUAAACCUAUAGUAUUAUCUGGAAAAACCCAUGAAUGAGUAGGUGGAAUCAAGGUUUUCGGUUGUGGCUUCUGGUGUAAAUCAUCAAGUUUAAUCAAGAGAGCUUCAACAUACAUCAUUGAUGAGUUUCUGCUCUCAUUGUUUUGGAUUCGGAAAUAGAUUCAAUGAAAUUAGCAGGGUGAAUGGAGAGUGAUUUGUGGAGUGGUGAAGAGCAAAGAAUGGUUGAAGAAGAUAAUGAUGGAGAGUGGUGGGAGAUUCUGUUAUAUAGAGGUUGAUGAAAGUUGAGAACUUUGAAUCUGAGCCAUAGAUUGAAGAAUUAUGUUACAAGUUGAAAGGUGUAUAGUGUGGGGACAAAUGGACACAAGAUUGGAUGUAUUCAGGUGUGAUUGAUCUGGUGACGGUAUAUGGACUGGUUUUUGCAAGGUGAUUCAGUAAGGUUCUUUAACUUGAAGAUGGAGCAAUGAUGAGAAAAGUUUUGGCAUGCAAAGAAGAGGUGGAAACGUGAAGAAAUUGAGUGGCUUCAAUCAGUUGGAAUUCUCUUGUAGCUUAAGGACUUUGACUUUAUGCAACUUGAAUUCAACUUGUUUCAACUUGGGAUAUGUAGCUAGUAGUGUAAUCUUGAAUUUGAAUCUUGUUUCACUUAGGAAUUCUCUUUUGUAAUUCAAGAACUUGAUGUAAUUGAAAUCCAAAGGUUUGUACUAA